UUGACCUCGGAUCAGGUAGGGAUACCCGCUGAACUUAAGCAUAUCAAUAAGCGGAGGAAAAGAAACCAACCGGGAUUGCCUCAGUAACGGCGAGUGAAGCGGCAAGAGCUCAAAUUUGAAAUCUGGCCCCCUCGGGGUCCGAGUUGUAAUUUGCAGAGGAUGCUUCGGGUGCGGCCCCCGUCUAAGUGCCCUGGAACGGGCCGUCAUAGAGGGUGAGAAUCCCGUCUGGGACGGGGUGUCCGCGUCCGUGUGAAGCUCCUUCGACGAGUCGAGUUGUUUGGGAAUGCAGCUCUAAAUGGGUGGUAAAUUUCAUCUAAAGCUAAAUACUGGCCGGAGACCGAUAGCGCACAAGUAGAGUGAUCGAAAGAUGAAAAGCACUUUGAAAAGAGAGUUAAAAAGCACGUGAAAUUGUUGAAAGGGAAGCGCUUGCGACCAGACUCGCCCGCGGGGUUCAGCCGGCAUUCGUGCCGGUGUACUUCCCCGUGGGCGGGCCAGCGUCGGUUUGGGCGGCCGGUCAAAGGCCUCCGGAAUGUAGCACCCUUCGGGGUGCCUUAUAGCCGGGGGUGCAAUGCGGCCAGCCUGGACCGAGGA
rnacentral:rRNA from 1 species